AGUGGCGAACGGGUGAGUAACACGUGAGCAACCUGCCCCUGACUCUGGGAUAAGCGCUGGAAACGGCGUCUAAUACUGGAUAUGUACCACGAUCGCAUGGUCUGUGGUUGGAAAGAUUUUUCGGUUGGGGAUGGGCUCGCGGCCUAUCAGCUUGUUGGUGAGGUAAUGGCUCACCAAGGCGUCGACGGGUAGCCGGCCUGAGAGGGUGACCGGCCACACUGGGACUGAGACACGGCCCAGACUCCUACGGGAGGCAGCAGUGGGGAAUAUUGCACAAUGGGCGCAAGCCUGAUGCAGCAACGCCGCGUGAGGGAUGACGGCCUUCGGGUUGUAAACCUCUUUUAGCAGGGAAGAAGCGAAAGUGACGGUACCUGCAGAAAAAGCGCCGGCUAACUACGUGCCAGCAGCCGCGGUAAUACGUAGGGCGCAAGCGUUAUCCGGAAUUAUUGGGCGUAAAGAGCUCGUAGGCGGUUUGUCGCGUCUGCUGUGAAAUCCGGAGGCUCAACCUCCGGCCUGCAGUGGGUACGGGCAGACUAGAGUGCGGUAGGGGAGAUUGGAAUUCCUGGUGUAGCGGUGGAAUGCGCAGAUAUCAGGAGGAACACCGAUGGCGAAGGCAGAUCUCUGGGCCGUAACUGACGCUGAGGAGCGAAAGGGUGGGGAGCAAACAGGCUUAGAUACCCUGGUAGUCCACCCCGUAAACGUUGGGAACUAGUUGUGGGGUCCAUUCCACGGAUUCCGUGACGCAGCUAACGCAUUAAGUUCCCCGCCUGGGGAGUACGGCCGCAAGGCUAAAACUCAAAGGAAUUGACGGGGACCCGCACAAGCGGCGGANCAUGCGGAUUAAUUCGAUGCAACGCGAAGAACCUUACCAAGGCUUGACAUAU
rnacentral:rRNA from 1 species